AGAGUUUGAUCCUGGCUCAGAACGAACGCUGGCGGCAGGCUUAACACAUGCAAGUCGAACGCCCCGCAAGGGGAGUGGCAGACGGGUGAGUAACGCGUGGGAACGUGCCCUUCGGUUCGGAAUAACUCAGGGAAACUUGAGCUAAUACCGGAUACGUGCGAGAGCAGAAAGAUUUAUCGCCGAAGGAUCGGCCCGCGUCCGAUUAGCUAGUUGGUGAGGUAAUGGCUCACCAAGGCGACGAUCAGUAGCUGGUCUGAGAGGAUGAUCAGCCACAUUGGGACUGAGACACGGCCCAAACUCCUACGGGAGGCAGCAGUGGGGAAUAUUGGACAAUGGGCGCAAGCCUGAUCCAGCCAUGCCGCGUGAGUGAUGAAGGCCUUAGGGUUGUAAAGCUCUUUCGCCAGGGACGAUAAUGACGGUACCUGGAUAAGAAGCCCCGGCUAACUUCGUGCCAGCAGCCGCGGUAAUACGAAGGGGGCUAGCGUUGUUCGGAUUUACUGGGCGUAAAGCGCACGUAGGCGGAUUUUUAAGUCAGGGGUGAAAUCCCGAGGCUCAACCUCGGAACUGCCCUUGAUACUGGAAGUCUCGAGUCCGGGAGAGGUGAGUGGAACUGCGAGUGUAGAGGUGAAAUUCGUAGAUAUUCGCAAGAACACCAGUGGCGAAGGCGGCUCACUGGCCCGGUACUGACGCUGAGGUGCGAAAGCGUGGGGAGCAAACAGGAUUAGAUACCCUGGUAGUCCA
rnacentral:rRNA from 1 species